rnacentral:rRNA from 1 species
CAGCCGCCGCGGUAAUACGUAGGGUGCGAGCGUUAAUCGGAAUUACUGGGCGUAAAGCGUGCGCAGGCGGUUAUAUAAGACAGAUGUGAAAUCCCCGGGCUCAACCUGGGACCUGCAUUUGUGACUGUAUAGCUAGAGUACGGUAGAGGGGGAUGGAAUUCCGCGUGUAGCAGUGAAAUGCGUAGAUAUGCGGAGGAACACCGAUGGCGAAAGCAAUCCCCUGGACCUGUACUGACGCUCAUGCACGAAAGCGUGGGGAGCAAACAGGAUUAGAUACCCCCGUAGUCCCUGUCUCUUAUAC